ACAGAGGGUGCAAGCGUUAAUCGGAAUUACUGGGCAUAAAGGGAGCGUAGGUGGCUCGAUAAGUCAGAUGUGAAAUCCCCGGGCUCAACCUGGGAACUGCAUCUGAUACUGUUGAGCUAGAGUAUGUGAGAGGAAGGUAGAAUUCCAGGUGUAGCGGUGAAAUGCGUAGAGAUCUGGAGGAAUACCGAUGGCGAAGGCAGCCUUCUGGCAUAAUACUGACACUGAGGCUCGAAAGCGUGGGUAGCAAACAGGAUUAGAUACCCUGGUAGUCCACGCCGUAAACGAUGUCUACUAGUCGUUGGGUCCCUUGAGGACUUAGUGACGCAGCUAACGCAAUAAGUAGACCGCCUGGGGAGUACGGCCGCAAGGUUA
rnacentral:rRNA from 1 species